rnacentral:rRNA from 1 species
GUAGUCUCGCACAGAUGCAUAUCAAUAAGCGGAGGAAAAGAAACUAACAAGGAUUCCCUCAGUAACGGCGAGUGAAGCGGGAAGAGCUCAAAUUUGAAAUCUUCAAGGUUUUACCUUGACGAAUUGUAGUUUAAAGAAGUGUUUUCUGUUGAAGUUUUGGUAAAAGUUCUUUGGAAUAGGACAUCAUAGAGGGUGAGAAUCCCGUAUUUGACCAUUAUUUUCAGCUGUGUGAUACACUUUCAAAGAGUCGGAUUGUUUGGGAAUGCAGUCCAAAAUGGGUGGUAAAUUUCAUCUAAAGCUAAAUAUUGGCGAGAGACCGAUAGCGAACAAGUACCGUGAGGGAAAGAUGAAAAGAACUUUGAAAAGAGAGUUAAACAGUACGUGAAAUUGUCAAAAGGGAAGCGUUUGACACCAGUGUUGUUUUCUCGAAAAUCAAUUAAAAAGAGUUAGAUUUUGUUGUGUAUUGACCUUAACAGCUUGCAUUUCAAUUUUCUUGCUUUUUUUAAUGCACUUUACGUUUAACAAGUCAACAUCAGUUUCUUUUGUUGUAAAAAGGUCAUUGGAAGGUGGCUUUCUUUUCGGAGAAAGUGUUUAUAGCCUUUGACUCCUGCAAUCGGAGAGACUGAGGUCUGCAGCGUAGAUCCUUCGGGGUUAGAUACAUUUGUGCUAAGUUAUAGCUUUUUAUAGACAACUUGUUGACUAUGAUUAGUCUUGUAGCUUACUCGCUUAUGCUAUUUUACCUACGCUUAGGAUGUUGAAGAUGUAGCACAUCAU